rnacentral:rRNA from 1 species
UAACGAAUCUUCCGCAAUGCGCGAAAGCGUGACGGAGCAAUGCCGCGUGCAGGAUGAAGCCCCUCGGGGUGUAAACUGCUGUCAGGGUUUAGCAACACAAUGAGCAGACCCAAAGGAAGGGCCGGCUAACUUCGUGCCAGCAGCCGCGGUAAUACGAAGGGCCCGAGCGUUAAUCGGAAUCACUGGGCUUAAAGCGUACGUAGGCGGGUGCGCAGGCAUCUUGUGAAAUCCCUCGGCUCAACCGAGGAACUGCAGGGUGAACCGCGCAUCUUGAGACAAGUAGGGGCUGUCGGAACGCUAGGUGGAGUGGUGAAAUGCGUUGAUAUCUAGCGGAACGCCGAAGGAGAAAUCAGGCAGCUGGGCUUGUUCUGACGCUGAGGUACGAAAGCGUGGGGAGCGAACGGGAUUAGAUACCCCCGUAGUCC